GGUCGGGAGUACGAAGGUUAUGCAACACCCGUAAGGGGAAAGCCUUCUGCCGUUCUACUAGGCGGUGUUGAAGCUCCCGACCUUUUUUGC
rnacentral:ncRNA from 1 species